rnacentral:rRNA from 1 species
GAUGAACGCUGGCGGCGUGUCUAAUACAUGCAAGUCGAGCGAACAGACGAGGAGCUUGCUCCUCUGACGUUAGCGGCGGACGGGUGAGUAACACGUGGAUAACCUACCUAUAAGACUGGGAUAACUUCGGGAAACCGGAGCUAAUACCGGAUAAUAUAUUGAACCGCAUGGUUCAAUAGUGAAAGACGGUUUUGCUGUCACUUAUAGAUGGAUCCGCGCCGCAUUAGCUAGUUGUUAAAGUAACGGCUUACCAAGGCAACGAUGCGUAGCCGACCUGAGAGAGUGAUCGGCCACACUGGAACUGAGACACGGUCCAGACUCCUACGGGAGGCAGCAGUAGGGAAUCUUCCGCAAUGGGCGAUAGCCUGACGGAGCAACGCCGCAUGAGUGAAGAAGGUCUUCGAAUCGUAAAGCUCUGUUAUUAGGGAAGAACAAAUGUGUAAGUAACUAUGCAAGUCUUGACGGUACCUAAUCAGAAAGCAACGGCUAAAUACGUG